rnacentral:rRNA from 1 species
UACGUAGGGGGCGAGCGUUGUCCGGAAUCAUUGGGCGUAAAGAGCGUGUAGGCGGCUUGGCAAGUCUGACGUGAAAGCCCGCGGCUCAACCGCGGAUUGUCGUUGGAAACUGCCUCGCUAGAGUCCGGAAGAGGAGAGCGGAAUUCCUGGUGUAGCGGUGGAAUGCGCAGAUAUCAGGAAGAACACCCGGUGGCGAAGGCGGCUCUCUGGGACGGUACUGACGCUGAGACGCGAAAGCGUGGGGAGCGAACAGG